UGUCAUUUUUUGUUAACGAAAUUCAUUUCUUGUGUUUAGUCGUUUAUUAUACUGGGAUCAAAAUUGAAAUUGUAAAAACUUGGCAUGAGAAAAUGUUGUCAAUGCUACAUGCGUGGCAAUAACAAAGCAGCAAUCGAUAAAAAUAGAAAAUCGAGAUAUGCACAGCAAGAGUAACAACAAACUCUAAGCUGCAAAUAAUAUUUUGUAAUAUAAUAGUAAAAGUGGAGCAACAUCAUAAAUGAAAACUGCAGAAUGGAAUCGUGAAGAAAAUGUGCAGAGUGUGGCAGAAAGUAGUAAAUACUAUCAGCAAAUAACAAAGAAUAAAAGAAACAUGGUAAGCAGUAAGUUUAAUGGAAUUGCUCCUUACGGACUACUUCACAUAUGCCUGCAGUUACCUUACGAAUGAUUUAUUGCACGGAAAUUUUGAUACUUGACUUUUAUUUUGGAAAUAUGAAAAUAGCCAAAUGGGCAAAGGCUGACAUUACCAUCAUCCAAGAACUGCGUUGGAAGGGACAAGGACGGAAGAAGGUGGCUUCUUGUGAAAUGUACUACAGCGACUAUAUGAAGGAGCGCAACUCGGGUAGAUGAACGUCUAGCUUAAUCCGCGUCAAAAAGAUUUUUUUUUCACACUAUCGCUGAUUUGCGACUUUAACCGGAGGGGGCGGAAGCCGCCUUUGUGUCUCAAAGAACGUCGGCCAAAAACACAAGCAAGGUUCGACGACGAAAAGCUGCAAUCAAAACAAGCAGCUGAGUGGUUUUCUACUCGGCUUGCACAUGGGGGACUCAUCAGCAGCUAGGCAUGAAGGGAACAGGGAACUGUGGGACGGCAUUUCAAACACCCUACGUUCAGCUGCAAACGAAAACAGCUGGUACGAGAAAAUAGACUGAACACAUCGCAACCUUACGAUCGACCACAACAUAUGCGGGCUGGGAUAGAUACCGAGAUCUGAAAAGGGAAGCAAGGCGCAUUUGCAGGGAGAAAAAGAAAGUGGCCGAAAUAUGUGAUCAUUUGGAACUUCAUAAGCUGGCCAACAAAGAUAAGGUCGAAGAAGGUUUCCAGAAAUAUAUUGACCGAUGUCCAGAGCAUACUUCGUGUAUUAAGGGAACACUUCUCCAGUCUAUGACAGGAUUCGAAUAGCGAUUACCCGCUUAAAGAACAACAAAGAGGCUGGAAUAUGGUCGAACGAAAACAUGCCCGAUGGUUGGAAUUUAAGUCUGUUUAGUCCGAUCCAUAUAAGGAGGAACCACACGACCUGCCACAAUGGGAUUAGCAACAUAUCUAUCGCGUAUAAAGUACGAUGGGGAGGGUUUUUUGUGAAGAACUAAAGCCGCCGAAUAUUCACCAUCGCUAAAUCUUCGAAAAUACUCAUGAGAUUGACACAUAUUACCUUUUCAACGAUCUCAAAACUGCCUGCGACAGCACAGUCUAAAUUUGGUAUUCCUGCAAAACUUGUAAGGCUUUGUGAACUGACGCCGGACAAUACCAGAAGCACAAACAAGGAUGACAAAAAUGCAUCAAAUAAUACAUUUGAGUGAAACAACUAUAUUUUUAAACCUUUAAUUGAAUACCUAAUUUACCUGCACCGUAACAACACAUAAUUCAAAACUUUCGCAUUUGACCUUUUCCCAUAACCUUUUCAACUUUCACACAAGUAACAUAAACAUUUCAGAUGACUUUCAGUUAAUAAAAUUUACCUUUCCUUGGGUAUUUCUUGGAAUUUCAGCAUGACAAACUGUACCCAACCCCACAAUUGUAUUUGUUGCAAUUGUAUGCCAACUGUGAAAAUAAAUUUGAAUCCUAAAGUAAAUAAAUGCAUUCAAUUUUAGAUCAAAAUACGACAACUACAAGCAAAUAAUUCCAAGCCAACUCAGUUGUUGAACAGGUACGAAAUAGAAGAAAAGGCAACGACAUCAAAGCACAAAGAUUGGAUUCAGAAACUUAAUUUCUACGCUUCAUAAAUGGCAAACUACAUUAAAGUAAAUAAAUAAAUUCUUGAAAUUUCAGUCUACCAAGAAAUGCAACAGGAAUAUUAAGAAUGUCAAAUAAAAUAAAUAAUAAAUGUAAUAAACAGUAAAUAGAUAUGUAAAAAGUUGGGAAUAUAGAGUGACAAAAUACAAAUAAACUGAUGUCCUGCUGGGUGACAACGGCACAUGGAAAUGAAAAGACAAAACAGUAAAGUUUCUCAUAUCGAAUGCAGUUACACGUGUAUGUACGAGAAACUGGAGUAGCAGAUUUUGAUCGAAAUCUACGUGCAGUGAUUCAGGCAGACACACGUGUCAAGCCGCAUACGCAGCAGUCAAUCGAAAACCCGGCAAAAAUUUUAAAUAAAUU